CCUACGGGAGGCAGCAGUGAGGAAUAUUGGUCAAUGGGCGGAAGCCUGAACCAGCCAAGUAGCGUGCAGGAUGACGGCCCUCCGGGUUGUAAACUGCUUUUAUACGGGAAUAACGCGCCUUACGUGUAGGGCUUUGCAUGUACCGUAUGAAUAAGGACCGGCUAAUUCCGUGCCAGCAGCCGCGGUAAUACGGAGGGUCCGGUCGUUAUCCGGAUUUAUUGGGUUUAAAGGGAGCGUAGGCGGCAUGUCAAGCGUGCUGUGAAAUGUCCGGGCUCAACCCGGGGCUUGCAGCGCAAACUGGCGUGCUGGAGUCCGCGGAAGGCAGGCGGAAUUCGUCGUGUAGCGGUGAAAUGCUUAGAUAUGACGAAGAACACCGAUUGCGAAGGCAGCUUGCUGCAGCGGAACUGACGCUGAUGCUCGAAAGCGCGGGUAUCGAACAGGAUUAGAUACCCUUGUAGUC
rnacentral:rRNA from 1 species